UUGAAAAAAAAAACCAUCGAAUUUCUAAUCGGAGAAUCAAAGGAGUGAACACGAAGUUAUAUCGGAAGGUGAAAUCACGGUCGCCGGAAAAUGGUGUUUCUCUCACGCAAGAGGCCUCCAGCGCCUCCACCGUCAUCCGCUGCUCCGCCUCCUAAAUUUCUGUCGCAGCCGGAAAACGAACCCGACGCGGUGGAGAAGAUGACGGCCAUUCUGGCUGAAGCCGGAUGCACACUGAUAAACCCGUCAGGUCCGCCGUAUCUUCCCUCCGAUAUCCUUGCUUUCCGUCGCCAUCUCACUCAUCGCUUCUCGUCUUGCUCCGUCGCCACCGUUGACAGAGAUAACGCCGCCGCUCUACGCUCGGUCUUCAUUGCCGGGUUCUCGUCUUAUGUUCGAUCUCCAAUCAAUCUCCGCAGAGUACUUUCGUCUUCUUCAGCGGGCAAGAGGAACGAGAGUUUAGUCCGUAAUCUACUACUUGUAUCUCCUAUACAGCUUGAUCUUCAAGAAUUUAUGCUCGAGAAGCUUCCAGAGUACUUUGACGUUAUUCCAGAAAGUUCUCUGGAGGAGGAUGUUGCUCGCCUUAUCAUCAGUCAUUUCCGGUGGCUGGAUUUCAUAGUUGAGCCGGAUGCAUUCACUGAUAAGCUGAUGCAAGUUUUGUCGAUUUGUCCUCUUCAUUUGAAGAAGGAAAUCAUUGGCUCAUUACCAGAGAUUAUUGGGGAUGGCAACAGUCGUGUGGUGGUUGAUUCUCUGGAAAGGAUGCUUCAGGAGGAUUCUGCUAUUGUUGUUCCUGUGCUUGAUUCUUUCUCGAACCUCAAUUUGGAUGAUCAGUUGCAAGAACAGGCGAUUACUGUGGCAUUAUCGUGUAUAAGAACAAUCGAUGCAGAGCAUGUGCCUUAUCUGCUUAGGUUUUUGCUUCUUGCUGCGACUCCAACAAAUGUCAGGAGAAUAAUCUCCCAGAUACGGGAGCAGUUGAGGUUCACCACCAGAUUGUCCAAACCUUGUGCUACUCAAAGCAAACUCAAAGGAAAAUUACCAGUAGAUAACUGUGAGGGUUCUAUUCUCCACGCGUUAAGAUCAAGUCUUCGGUUUAAAAAUAUACUCUGUCAGGAAAUCAUAAAGGAGCUGAACGGUCUUGAGAAACCCCGGGAUUUCAAGGUAAUUGACAUAUGGCUACUUAUUCUCAUGUAUAUGAAUGGGGAACCCAUCCAGAGAAGCAUCGAGAAGAUAUUUAAGAAGAAAAUUGUCGAAGGCUGUAUACAAGAAGCCAUGCUUGAUCAGUGUAUUUGGGGCAAUAAGGAGUUCGUACAGGAUUAUUUUGCGCCAUUUCUUUCUUUGGCUGAACACCUCUUGUCCUGCAAAGAAGAAAAGGCGAGGAAAAUUGGCACUCAUAUCUAUACUCGUCUUUUUGAAGAAUUUGUUGACAAUUAUUCAAGACAAGAAGUCCUAGGUUCCUUAGUUACACAUGUAGGAUCUGAUAACAAAUUUGAGAUCAGUUCUGGCUUGGAAGUGAUGACUAUUCUGGCUAAAAAAUAUGCUCAGCAAAUGCUUCCCUUUUCUUCCCACAUAAAUGGUGUUUUGGAUUACUUGGAGGGAUUUACUGUUGAAAAUUUGCAUAAGGUCUAUGAGGUUUUCAGUUGUCUGGCGUUAUCAGCUCGGACAAAUGCUGAUUCCUUUAGAUCUUCAAUAUCGAAUGAACUUAUGAUGAUAGUAAGGAAGCAGGUUAGUCAUGCGGAUCUCAAGUACAAAAAGAUGGGAUUAGUUGGAACUCUGAGGAUUGUUUCGUCUCUUGGGGAUGUAAAUGGUGUUCCUGACUCAUCCUCUCAGGUUUCGGAUUGUAGAGAGGUUUUGGAGCUUUUAAAGAAUGCCCUAGAUUCUUGCAAACAGUGUAGCUUAGCCCGCAUUCUUUUCUAUGAUGAAUUGGCUGGAAUUCUUGGCCACAAAAUACUUCAGCCGGAGAUUAUGGAAUGGAUUGGGAAGCAUCUGGGAGAGUUUGAAUCGUUAUUUCUCUCUGAUCUUGACAACGGAAAGCUUCGUGGUAAUGAAUCUUAUUCUGGACUAGAAGGGGAUGUUUGGAUGAACUUGGACGGUGACAUAUCACCAAUCUGUUUGAACAUUUUGGCCUUGGCAUCUUCCUCAUCGACAGAGUCCUGUUCCUCUCUGCAGAUUCUGCCUUCAAAUUUUCUUUUGCUAUCAACUGUUGAGAGGUUGACAAAUGGUGGAUCUCUUGCGGGAAUCGAUGCCUUGCUCGGGUGCCCUUUGCACCUUCCUUCUUGGAAGUAUGUUUGUGCAGCUGUUUGGCAGUCUCUCACAGGGAAGCAGAGAGAAAUCAUAUGUCUCUCUUUGUAUUAUGCUGCAAACUGGAUACGAGAACUUCUUAAUGCUUUCUGUACACAGAUCGUUGAAAGGUCUCAAUGCAUCAGUCAGGCCACAGAAAAGGAUGUAAUAACAAAGCUCCUGAAGCGACUCAAAAAUCUGGUGUUUUUGGAAAGCUUGUUAAGCAGUUUGAUCAAACUUUCUCCUCAGUCUCUACCGGAACUCCACCUGUAUCUAGAGCAUUCUGGAUCUUUGGCCAUACCCCAGCCUAAACAGGCAGAGCAUCUAGGCAAGAAGCCAGAGAAGAGGAAGCUACAUGAUGAUGCCUCUCAAAGCACAGGGAAAAAGAAGAACGGGAAGGGACCAAAACACUCAGAUACAAAUGACAAGCUGCGACAACCAACAAUAUUGGAUAUGUGGAAGAAAGCAGGAGCAGUGACAAGUCAAACUGAGCCAGAUGAGAGUUGUUGUGUUGAAUCUUCCAAUGGCAAGACAUUAGGGUCAGUGGAUGAGCAUUGUUCUAAUCCAAAGGAGUCUCUAGUUGUAGAGAUUCCUCAAGUUUCUCAGGCGCUGGAAGCCCAAAGGUUAAAGUUCAGGCCCCUUCUGCCUCAAUGCUUAUCAAUCUUAAAACUUCCAAAGGUGGUAAGCAAAGAUAUAUGCAGUCCAGAUCAUAGAGUUGAGCUUCCACUAUAUUUGUAUAUUUUACGUGAUCUUCACUCCAAGCUGGAUUGUGUUGUUCCUCCUUGUAAGCAACUACCUUCAAGAUGGGCAAACACUCCAUCUACCUUUUGGGGGUUCAGACUGGAUGAACUGUUGAGUCAAGUGAAGGAACUUUUCCCGAGUCUUAGACUAGUUCUGGAUAGAGCAGUUUCCUUACUGGUAAAUGGUGAUGAAAUUUCUCAACAAAUUUGGAAAAAGGAAUUUACCGCAGCCAUGAAUCCGAACAUAUCCAAUGUUGUGGUUUCAGACUCUCUAGUCCACACAAUGGUAUCCAAAGAAGUAUUGUACUGUUUUAACAAGAUGUUACUCCUUCCUGUAUUCCAAACAGACAAAUCACUUCAGUUGAAUCUUCUUGAAGCCUUCCAGUCCACUGAUAUGCCGACUACUAGCUUCCCAGACAUUCAACCUCUCCCUUCCCCUGGGACAACAGAAUACCUGUAUCUUGGUGUUUAUUCUUUCUUCGAAGAGAUUUUAAAUACUGGUAAGCAACAGUUCCCGGUUUUCAUUGCGUUUCUCGAUCAUGAGAUAUAUUAUCCUAAUUCUCGUCACAAUGUUGCUGCAGCAUGUCCCUUUUCCUUUGAACUGGCCUUGGAAUGUCUUAUUACCCUACAGUUAUUCGUAACAUAUGCACAAAGAAAUCUUGUUAAGGUGUCAGAUGAAGCUACUAAAAAGAGAAAUCUGGGUCAUAUUCCGAGCCUUGUCUCCAGCUUGCAUGCCAGAUUAGGAACUUCUGCUGAGAAGCUUCUCAAACAUAAAUGGGUCGAUGAAAGCUCUGAGAAUAAGGGUUUGAAAAACAGAGGCGAAAUGAUACAGAAUAUAUUGCGAAUAUACCUGGAAGCUAGCGAAUCUACAUCUGAUUUGCUGAACGAGCUUGCUUGUACCGUUUUGCCUCAGGUUUCUUUAUCCAAGUCAGGAGGAGGAGAUGCUCAUCCUGAGUUCCCAACCCUAUGCCCGGUGACAUUCUUAGGCUGGUAUAGGGUAUUGCAUGAAGAAAACCUUGUACUUCUCAACAAAUUGGUAAAGACAAUUUGCUCAGAGAAACGACGUGCCUGUGAACCUGAAGCUGCUGAAACACACUUGAAAAACAUUCACAAGUCUGUGAACGUGGUGGUGUCAUUAGUUAACUUGUGCCGAUCCCAUGAAAAGGUAGCUGUUCACAGCAUGGCUGUCAAGUACGGCGGGAAGUUUGUGGACUCGUUUCUAAAAGUUUUUUAUUUAUUGGAAGCCCUUUUUCAAGUUCAUAGCGAACUGGUUAUCCAGUUGGUGAAGGAUCUUCAGAAGGCCACAAGAACAUUACAGACUCUAUGUUCUGAAGCCAAGGGCCUGAAACGAACAGCCAUAACCAGCAAAAUACCAGCAACAAAGAGAUCACUAGAACGCUUUCUGUUUCACGUCAAGGCCCUUAUCCAUACAACUUCACUUGGCUCCGCCUUCUGGAUGGGAAAUUUGAAACACAAGGACUUGACAGGGCAAGUUGUGAGUUCUCAGGCAUAUGUUGACAACCAACCAAAUGAAUCCAUGCCCGAAGCAGAUCCUGCGGAGGAUUGAUCAACAAUCUCUCUACCGGCUGUGAAUUCAUUCUUGUAGUAGGAAAAGGAAGAGCAAGUGGAGAGGAGAGCUGCCGAACAAAAUUGAUGGAAAUGGAAUCUUGUUCCAUUCCCUCUCCAAUAAUUUAUUACAGCUUCCGCGAGAAGGAGCACAAGGGAAAUGAUUAGGAUGCGAAAGUACAAAGGGGCACGCACACAUGAUCUAAUGCGGUGGAUAUUAUAUGAUUAAAAUGAGUGGCGAUGAAACAAGUGAGGGCGAGAGACUCAAGGGCAGAUUCAUGUCCCAUCCCAAUUACUAAAACAAGAGUAAACACUGAGGGGAAACUGGCAAAUCCUUCACUUUCCUUGUUCGUACAAAAUUCCUCUCAUGUCAUGUGAACAGUUUCCAACUCGUGCUUCACCUGCCUUUCGCUUAAAAACCCUCUUACUCUUUCAUUUAAACUUUUUUAAAUUCCAUGUUUGUUUUUUGCAUUAUCACCACUUGCCAAAUACGUGUAUUUUGUAAUUUGUAAAUGCACUUGAAAAUUACAAAGACAAUUAGGCAUGUUUUCAAUUGGAAAAAAAAAAUAAUAGUAGUUAUUUCGAGCUUCGGUUCGGUUAUAUUUGAA